UGAACAAAUCUGAGAGGCCAAAGCAUAGGCACUCCCGAUCCAGAUCUGCUGAAGGAAGGUAUAACCAUGAUGAUAAAGAUGCGAGAAAAACUGAGAAACCAAGACAUAGGCACUCCAGAUCUAGAUCUGCAGAACGGCGACAUAAUCCUGAUGAUAAAGCUGUGAAAAAAUCCGAGAAGCCAAAGCGAAGGCACUCCAGAUCUAGAUCUGCUGAAGGAAGGCUUAACCAUGAUGAUAAAGAAGUGAAGAAAUCUGAAAAGACAAGACAUAGGCA
rnacentral:misc_RNA from 1 species